UGGGGAAUCUUGCGCAAUGGGCGAAAGCCUGACGCAGCAACGCCGCGUGUGUGAUGAAGGUCUUCGGAUCGUAAAGCACUGUCGCGAGGGACGAAUAAGGGGCGGGCUAACAUCCCGUUCCGAUGACGGUACCUCGAGAGGAAGCACCGGCUAACUCUGUGCCAGCAGCCGCGGUAAUACAGAGGGUGCAAGCGUUGUUCGGAAUUAUUGGGCGUAAAGCGCGUGUAGGCGGCCAUGCAAGUCGGGUGUGAAAGCCCUCGGCUUAACCGAGGAAGUGCGCCCGAAACUACAUGGCUUGAGUACCGGAGAGGGUGGCGGAAUUCCCGGUGUAGAGGUGAAAUUCGUAGAUAUCGGGAGGAACACCAGCGGCGAAGGCGGCCACCUGGACGGAUACUGACGCUGAGACGCGAAAGCGUGGGGAGCAAACA
rnacentral:rRNA from 1 species